GGAGAGAUGGCUCAGCGGUUAAGAGCACUGGCUGGCUGCUCUUCCAGAGGUCCUGAGUUCAAUUUCCAGCAACUUCA
rnacentral:tRNA from 1 species